CAGUCGCCGCGGUAAUACGAAGGGUGCAAGCGUUACUCGGAAUUACUGGGCGUAAAGCGUGCGUAGGUGGUGGUUUAAGUCCGUUGUGAAAGCCCUGGGCUCAACCUGGGAAUUGCAGUGGAUACUGGAUCACUAGAGUGUGGUAGAGGAUAGUGGAAUUUCCGGUGUAGCAGUGGAGUGCGUAGAGAUCGGAAGGAACAUCUGUGGCGAAGGCGACUAUCUGGGCCAACACUGACACUGAGGCACGAAAGCGUGGGGAGCAAACAGGAUUAGAUACCCCAGUAGUCCCUGUCUCUUAUAC
rnacentral:rRNA from 1 species